GGAGGUGUAGGAGGGAGUCAGGCAGGUUUGGGGAGAAGGAAGUUCCAGGCAGAGGGAACAGCCCUGAAAAGUGCCCAAAGUGGAGGUGUGCCUAGUGUCUCCAUACACUAGGAGGAGGUCGGCUGUGCUAGGAGAGUGAAUGAGGGGCAAUACUGAGAGCUGAGGAGAGGGAUGAAAGCAGGCUAGAUGCAGGAGGACCUUUGCAUUGUCUGCUGGGGCCGCCUACCGAAGUUCCACAAACUGAGUGGCUUAAACAACAGAAAAGUACCAAGUUCCGGUGACCAGAAGUCCUUAUAAGGUGCUGUGGGGAUACUGCAGCAGCUCUCUGUCCUUCCAGUGUCUCCAGGGAAGAACAUCUUCCUCUCAAGUGAACAGUGCUUACCGCUUCAAGCAUCCAGUCUCAGCAAUAAGCCCAGCAUGGAGGUGCCAUCCUUGUGAAGCCCCAUCGCGGCUGACUGGGCUCCUGGCAGCUCCAUCUUCUGGAGUGAGUCAGCCAGAUUCUGGGGCCUUCGCUGCUCUGAGAACCUGCCAGAGUUGGGACAAGCCUCUGUCUUCCUGGGUGAUUUGGGGAGGUCCACGCUCACUCUGCUCACCCACCCCAGCUUCCUCAGCUUCACAAGAAGGAUCAGGCAGGUGAGAGGAGUCCCUGGCUUAC
rnacentral:lncRNA from 1 species